CAGGUAGAACCCCAGGCUGUGGAGUCGUACUGCCUGAUAAGCAUUCUCUCCACCUGUUAAUAGCUGUGUGGCCUCAGGUCUUCUGAGAAGCAGAUGCCAAGAUGGAACCAGAAAUGCAAGAGAUUUAUUGGAGAAAAUACCUGUGCCAGAACAGAGAAGAGGGGACCAUGUGAAGUUGACAUCUACAAGCCCAGCAGAGAGGC